rnacentral:rRNA from 1 species
GCAGUCGAGCGAGACCUUCGGGUCUAGCGGCGGACGGGUGAGUAACGCGUGGGAACGUGCCCUUCUCUACGGAAUAGCCCCGGGAAACUGGGAGUAAUACCGUAUACGCCCUUUGGGGGAAAGAUUUAUCGGAGAAGGAUCGGCCCGCGUUGGAUUAGGUAGUUGGUGGGGUAAUGGCCCACCAAGCCGACGAUCCAUAGCUGGUUUGAGAGGAUGAUCAGCCACACUGGGACUGAGACACGGCCCAGACUCCUACGGGAGGCAGCAGUGGGGAAUCUUAGACAAUGGGGGCAACCCUGAUCUAGCCGUGCCGCGUGAGUGAUGAAGGCCUUAGGGUUGUAAAGCUCUUUCAGCUGGGAAGAUAAUGACGGUACCAGCAGAAGAAGCCCCGGCUAACUCCGUGCCAGCAGCCGCGGUAAUACGGAGGGGGCUAGCGUUGUUCGGAAUUACUGGGCGUAAAGCGCACGUAGGCGGACUGGAAAGUCAGAGGUGAAAUCCCAGGGCUCAACCUUGGAACUGCCUUUGAUA